rnacentral:rRNA from 1 species
UACGUAGGGGGCAAGCGUUGUCCGGAUUUAUUGGGCGUAAAGAGCGUGUAGGCGGCCUGAAAGGUCAGCUGUGAAAACUCGAGGCUCAACCUCGAGACGUCGGUUGAAACCAUCUGGCUAGAGUCCGGAAGAGGAGUGUGGAAUUCCCGGUGUAGCGGUGAAAUGCGCAGAUAUCGGGAAGAACACCCGUGGCGAAGGCGGCACUCUGGGACGGUACUGACGCUGAGACGCGAAAAGCGUGGGGGAGCGAACAGGA